AAUUGAAUACCACCUGCAAGCCUAGCCACUUUACAACCGAUGCGAAGUUUGCGAACAGCCGCCGCACUUCGCUGACACGAGAACACGGAUAGGGUGCCUUGAUGCCCGCGCGCUCAGCGAGGGCGCGCGCAUCGAGGCACUCUAAACACGGACAGGAAACGGCUGAACAAACAUUGGUUUCGUACUAACAACCCUUCCAAAAAAGUUGCACUUGAAGAGGUAAGAUAAGGUAAAAAUACGCUCUAAAAUAAAAAAAAAACAAUUCUUGCUUACAAAAUUUCGUACUGUUUGUUGACAGAAGCGAGAAUAUUAAAAUUUAGUUUUCUCAGAAGUGCGUGCGUUGCGGCAAGUGCCAUCAGCAUAGUCAUCGCGAUCGGACCGCGCUUUUUUGUGGACGCAUCAGACGCAUCAUGCCACAGGUCACCGGCGUAUUUUAUAUCCGGCGUCUUUGAAAUAUUCAUGUUGGCACAGUCCGUGGAUUCAGCCACAUUCGAGUGUUGGCUCGCGACUGCAGCCAACUGCAGUGGACACGGUGACGGGCGCAGCAAGCAUGACGUGUGGGAGCUACUGUACGCGCAUGUCUCAUUGCUGACGCAACGCGGAACAAAGAAAGAACCCUAAGCAACGAGAAUAUAUCCGCGACCUUGUCUCCUGAAGCUGAAGCAGAACGGGCAACAGUUUGACAACGAAUAUCCUUGGUAGCAGGAAUUGUAUAGCUGUACUAUGAAGCCCCCUCUGUAUGAGAUGUUUUCACCGAACAACUGUUGUGUAAUAAAGGCUCUUCGUGUUGAACACCACCUAGUUUCAAUUGGGCGACCAUUUACUAUUAACUGGAUUGCCUGUUGAACACCAGUUCACUUUAACUGGUUACCCAUUUGGACACCGGUUAGCUUCAAUUGGAUUACCACAUCUAUUCAAUUGGUUAACCAAUUAAACACCACCUAGUUUCAAUUGGGUGACCAGUUACGAUUAACUGGAUUACCAGUUGAACACCAAUUCACUUUAACUGGUUACCCAUUUGGGCACCAGUUAGCUUCAAUUGGAUGACCAUGCGUGUUCAAGUGGUUGACCAAUUGGACCCGUCUAUGUCAACUGGUCAACCAAUUACCAC